UUUUUGGAGAGUUUGAUCCUGGCUCAGGACGAACGCUGGCGGCGUGCCUAAUACAUGCAAGUCGAGCGG
rnacentral:rRNA from 1 species